AGCUAAUACUUAAAGAAGCAGAUUAAGUAGAAAAUGGCUAAUACUUACCUAUACAUGUAUGUCCUGUUUUCUGCCCACAGUGUGUGGCCCAAAAUCUACACAAUCCAUCUUUCUCCUGAAUUUUCAAAGCAUAAAGUCCAACCCCCACCAUCCAGGUAUUCAAGGCCCAUUAGGAUAUGAUCCUUACCCACCUCCAUUACACCAUCUCCUAGUACACACACUCUAUGCUCCAGGCACAUCAAAGGACAUCUGGUUGUGUGGACAUGCCACGCUCUUUCACAAAUCUUAACUUUUGUAGAGGCUCUUCUCCAUCAGAAAUGUCCUUUUCAGUUGGGUGUGGUGGCUCAUGCCUAUAAUCCCAGGACUUUGGGAGGCCAAGGCAAGUGGAUUG
rnacentral:lncRNA from 10 species